ACUCCAGACUCCUACGGGAGGCAGCAGUGGGGGAUAUUGCACAAUGGGGGGAACCCUGAUGCAGCGACGCCGCGUGGGUGAAGAAGCGCCUCGGCGCGUAAAGCCCUGUCAGCAGGGAAAAAAAUGACGGUACCUGAGUAAGAAGCACCGGCUAAAUACGUGCCAGCAGCCGCGGUAAUACGUAUGGUGCAAGCGUUAUCCGGAUUUACUGGGUGUAAAGGGAGCGUAGGCGGCGCGUUAAGUCUGAUGUGAAAACCCGAGGCUCAACCACGGGAGUGCAUUGGAAACUGGCGGGCUGGAGUGCCGGAGAGGUAAGCGGAAUUCCUAGUGUAGCGGUGAAAUGCGUAGAUAUUAGGAGGAACACCGGUGGCGAAGGCGGCCUGCUGGACUGCAACUGACGUUGAGGCCCGAAAGCGUGGGGAGCAAACAGGAUUAGAUACCCUGGUAU
rnacentral:rRNA from 1 species